UACGGGGGGGGCAAGCGUUGUUCGGAAUUACUGGGCGUAAAGGGCUCGUAGGCGGCCAACUAAGUCGGAUGUGAAAUCCCCAGGCUUAACCUGGGAACUGCAUCCGAUACUGGAUGGCUUGAAUCCGGGAGAGGGAUGCGGAAUUCCAGGUGUAGCGGUGAAAUGCGUAGAUAUCUGGAGGAACACCGGUGGCGAAGGCGGCAUCCUGGACCGGCAUUGACGCUGAGGAGCGAAAGCCAGGGGAGCAAACGGGA
rnacentral:rRNA from 1 species